rnacentral:rRNA from 1 species
ACUAAAUAGAUACCCAGGUAGUCCACGCCCUAAACGAUGUCUACUAGUUGUUGGUGGAGUAAAAUCCAUGAGUAAACGCAGCUAAACGCGUGAAGUAGACCGCCUGGGGAGUACGGUCGCAAGAUUAAAAACUCAAAGGAAUUGACGGGGCCGGCACAAGCGGUGGAUUAUGUGGAUUAAAUUCGAUGCAACGCGAAAAACCUUAACCUGGCCUUGACAUGCACUAACGAAGCAGAGAUGCAUUAGGUGCCGUAACGGGAAAGUGGACACAGGCGCUGCAUGGCUGUCGUCAGCUCGUGUCGUGAGAUGUUGGG